rnacentral:rRNA from 1 species
UACGUAGGGUGCGAGCGUUGUCCGGAAUUAUUGGGCGUAAAGGGCUCGUAGGCGGUUUGUCGCGUCGGGAGUGAAGACCAUGGGCUUAACUCAUGGCUUGCUUUCGAUACGGGCAGACUAGAGGUAUGCAGGGGAGAACGGAAUUCCUGGUGUAGCGGUGAAAUGCGCAGAUAUCAGGAGGAACACCGGUGGCGAAGGCGGUUCUCUGGGCAUGACCUGACGCUGAGGAGCGAAAGCUAGGGGAGCAAACAGG